rnacentral:tRNA from 1 species
GGAUUAUGGCUCAGUGGCAGAGCGCUUGCCUAGCAUGUAUGAGGCCCUGGGUUCGAUCCUCGGUACCA